rnacentral:rRNA from 1 species
GAUGAACGCUGGCGGCGUGCCUAAUACAUGCAAGUCGAGCGAAUGGAUUAAGAGCUUGCUCUUAUGAAGUUAGCGGCGGACGGGUGAGUAACACGUGGGUAACCUGCCCAUAAGACUGGGAUAACUCCGGGAAACCGGGGCUAAUACCGGAUAACAUUUUGAACCGCAUGGUUCGAAAUUGAAAGGCGGCUUCGGCUGUCACUUAUGGAUGGACCCGCUUCGCAUUAGCUAGUUGGUGAGGUAACGGCUCACCAAGGCAACGAUGCGUAGCCGAACUGAGAGGGUGAUGUGCCGCACUGGGACUGAGACACGGCCCAGACUCCUACGGGAGGCAGCAGUAGGGAAUCUUCCGCAAUGGACGAAAGUCUGACGGAGCAACGCCGCGUGAGUGAUGAUGUCUUGCGGGUCGUAAAACUCUGUUGUUAGGGAAGAACAAGUGCUAGUUGAAUAAGCUGGCACCUUGACGGUACCUAACCAGAAAGCCACGACUAACUACGUGCCAGCCGCCGCCGUAA